UCUCUUCGUACGAGGAGGCGCCCACGUAAAAAGACUUGCGUGGUGUGCGGAUCAGCCAUUGGUUCCUCAUUCUCACACCAUCCUCCAAGUCCUCCAGCUGGAUGUCCUCUGAAAUUAUGAAUAAAUGAGGAGUUUUGGUGUUCUGGAGAAGCAGAUGAGUAGCUCACCUAGAGGGAUGAUCUGCUGUCUUUUGUGCCAGCGGCCGUUGAGAAUGAUGCUGCCGUACACCAGCACAUCAUUGAAGAGGAAGAAGGCUUUAGGCUGUGGCCCCCGGCGGCUCUGCUUCAUCAGCCGGCCCUCUCCAAUCAGUACCCGACCCAACUGGGACAGGGGCUUCCCCGACCCGCCGAAUGAGUUCUCAACAGCCUGGAUCCGCUCCCGGUUCUCCUGGGCAAAGGUUAGCUGGUCCACCAUGGUGUCCUUGUAUUUAGUUCACAAGUCAACAAGAGUCCUGUUCUCAGUGCAGCAGUCUUUUUGUUUGUAGUUCCACGACUUUGUCAUGUGUUUGUCUUUUCUCUCUGCUUAGACAAGGCUUGCCCAGCAGCUCUUAUAGAUCUCGGUGACGCAGUGGGGUUUUCCUCAGUAACUUCUGCUUUAAGACAAAAACAUCUUGUGAAAAGUAAGGGGGUGGAGCAAAGUUUGAAUUCAAAGAGACAAGGAGGAAAUUUACACAAUAUACUUGUGUAAAAGGAACAGUCCUCUCUGCUGGCUACUUAUUUUACUCAUAAUUCAUGUGUAGUGACUGAAUCUGUAUCAGUGAAUGCUUUUGACAAGACGUGAAUUCAAAGGAACCUGCAGAUUUCACCAUGCACUCCACUAUCAAUAUCCAUUUCAUGAAGAUACCUCCCCUUUAGAAAUAUGAUCAUACUUUAAAAAGAUAAAAACAGAGAUACAUUAAAUCAGCUGAAACCCAAGAUUGAUAUCUUAUUAUCAAUAUAUUACCAUAAUAACGUUCACCAGAUGAAAUACAUUAUAUUGAGAUCCAUUGUUGUGAAUCUUUGCAUGUUUUUUUUAACAAAGAUAAUGUAGACAUUGAUUGUAGCGAGGGAAGUAGAUUAUUCCAAAGAGAUGGUCCUCUACUGUAUAUUUUCAAUGAAUAUUGAUUAAGGGACGUCUAACAAUACAGAAGAUUAAAGUCCUUAAAGUGUCUUGUAGAAUAUGAGUGCAUGUCUGAAAUUCUACUUCCCUGGAUUUUUUCCAUGGAUAAUCUGUGAAACAAUCAGGUUCCUCUGGCUCCUCCUAGUGGUCCUAAUGGUGUUUACAAGAAUCCACCGGGCCUGGAUGAAAACAACCAAUUACAGCCGAGGAAGAUAGUUGCUUGUUGAGUCUCAUUCCCAGGGCAUCAAAUACUGAACAAAGAUUUUAAUACGGAUUCAAUUUUAUUUGUAUAGCACCAGUUCAUAACUUACUGCUUUGGGACGCUGGGAAUGAUUUGAUUUGAUUCAACUUUAUUGUCAUUGCAAGUACAGGUACAAAACAACAAAAUGCAGUUAGCAUCAACCAGAAGUGCAAAGUAGUAAAAUAAGUGAGACUCAACAAUAAUAAUCUUUAAGCCUCCAAUCCAUCUUUUGCUGCACUGAUUGGUUGCUUUCGUUCAGGCCUGUUGGAGUGAAAUCCGCUGUGACCAGGAACAGUAAAACUGUCUCCUGACAAGAGCUCACGUUUCAUAAACAGAUGAAGUAUUGUAAGACCAGUCGAGCAGCUCUAGCAGCUGGAGUGAAAAAAUAACAGUUGUCAGAUUGCAUGCUGCCAAUACUUGUGUCAUUCCUCAUCUGGAAACUCUGCUGCUUUGAUCCAAGUAUAUUCAGUGAUCUUCCUUCCAGUUACUGGGUGUGCCAACUGAGCACAAACAGGUGAAGCCCAUGCCUAUCUAGAUCAGCAGGGUUACGGUAAAAAGUGCAUGGCAAGAACAAGGGAGACUCCAGUGAGCAGGUAGAAGAGCUUUGGAUUUUCUUUCCUCCUUACCUUUAAGAAUGAAUAAACUGAUUUUGCACUAAUUUUGGAACUAAAUUAAGAUGUAAAAUUUAGCUCACUGUAUAGCAAAUCCGAUGUUUUUGAAGUAGCCAUUAUCACCCAUAUUAGCAUGUAUGUUAGCUGUUUUUGGCCCCCUGAAUUCUAAUAUUCACUUUUUAUGGGCAGUGUUAAAUAUCAAUACUUUUCUGUAAAGGCUUAAAAGGUCCAGUCUGUAAUACUUAGAAGGAUCUUUAAUAUAAUAUUCAUAGGUAUGUUUUCAUUAGUGUAUAAUCACCUGAAAAUAAGAAUCUGGACUCUGCCAUGUUUCUACAGUAGCCCAGAAUGGACAAACCAAACACUGGCUUUAGACACUUCACAGCUCGUUCUCAUUCCCAGAUCGUCAAAUACAGAUGUGAGGAGUGUUCAGUUAGUUGCAAUCUGCAAUUUCAAUGCUAGAUGUCACUAAAUCCUACACACUGGUCCUUUAAAUGUGAAAAUCUGUCAUACGCUAAAAGCUGUCACAAUGUCAUGAUCGUAUUUACUCACAGUUCCUGACUUCAAAUUAAAUUUUGACUUACAGAAAGCAAACAAACUAAAUGUGGGACAAAGAGUAUCUUUGUGUUGGACAACGUGGGACAUUGUUAACCAUUCCUGUUCGGCUCCCAGACCGUGGUCGGAAAGCACAGGGCUGAGUUUCCUCCAGGGCUAACCCCCUUACUUCAUCCUCAGCAGUCGGCGAACAACACACACAGAGGCUCCACUUUGGUCUUGAGAAGCGACAGCCUUUAUUGACAACUGUAACUCAGACUGUACAUUUACUGCUAACCCUGGUAGCGUAUGGCUAACCCGUAUCUCUCGCUGCUCUGCUGUCGUUCACCGUCGCUCUCGUUCACACACUCACGCCCCAAUCCAAGUCAUUUAGGAUUUAAAAUCUGCUGUAUUGUAUUGUUUUAGAUAA